AGUGAACGCUGGCGGUAGGCCUAACACAUGCAAGUCGAACGGCAGCACAGGAGAGCUUGCUCUCUGGGUGGCGAGUGGCGGACGGGUGAGGAAUACAUCGGAAUCUACUCUGUCGUGGGGGAUAACGUAGGGAAACUUACGCUAAUACCGCAUACGACCUAAGGGUGAAAGCAGGGGACCUUCGGGCCUUGCGCGAUUGAAUGAGCCGAUGUCGGAUUAGCUAGUUGGCGGGGGUAAAGGCCCACCAAGGCGACGAUCCGCAGCUGGUCUGAGAGGAUGAUCAGCCACACUGGAACUGAGACACGGUCCAGACUCCUACGGGAGGCAGCAGUGGGGAAUAUUGACAAUGGGCGCAAGCCUGAUCCAGCCAUACCGCGUGGGUGAAGAAGGCCUUCGGGUUGUAAAGCCCUUUUGUUGGGAAAGAAAUCCAGCUGGCUAAUACCCGGUUGGGAUGACGGUACCCAAAGAAUAAGCACCGGCUAACUUCGUGCCAGCAGCCGCCGUAA
rnacentral:rRNA from 1 species